rnacentral:rRNA from 1 species
GAUGAACGCUGGCGGCGUGCUUAACACAUGCAAGUCGAGCGAAGCGGCUGAAUUGAUUCUUCGGAUGAUUUUCAGUUGACUGAGCGGCGGACGGGUGAGUAACGCGUGGGUGACCUGCCCCAUACCGGGGGAUAACAGCUGGAAACGGCUGCUAAUACCGCAUAAGCGCACAGAGCUGCAUGGCUCGGUGUGAAAAACUCCGGUGGUAUGGGAUGGGCCCGCGUCUGAUUAGGCAGUUGGCGGGGUAACGGCCCACCAAACCGACGAUCAGUAGCCGGCCUGAGAGGGCGACCGGCCACAUUGGGACUGAGACACGGCCCAAACUCCUACGGGAGGCAGCAGUGGGGAAUAUUGCACAAUGGGGGAAACCCUGAUGCAGCGACGCCGCGUGAGCGAAGAAGUAUUUCGGUAUGUAAAGCUCUAUCAGCAGGGAAGAUAAUGACGGUAC